UCUGAUAUAGUUGUAGCUGAUAGGGUCAAGUAUAGUCUGGUGGUAGUUGUCUGUAGCUGAUAGGGUCAAGUAUAGUCUGGUGGAGUUGUCUGUAGCUGAUAGGGUUAGGUGUAGUCUGAUAUAGUUGUCUGUAGCUGAUAGGGUCAAGUAUAGUCUGGUGGUAGUUGUCUGUAGCUGAUAGGGUUAGGUGUAGUCUGGUAUAGUUGUCUGUAGCUGAUAGGGUUAGGUGUAGUCUGGUAUAGCUGUCUGUAGCUGAUAGGGUUAGGUGUAGUCUGGUAUAGUUGUCGUCUAUCAGUUGAUGAUUUACGUUGGGUCUGGUAUUUGUAGUUCAUCAGUAGAAGCUGCAGGGUGGGUGUGGUAGUUGUAGUCCAUCAGUAGAAGAUGCUGGGUGGGUGUGGUAGUUGUAGUCCAUCAGAAGAAGAUGCAGGGUGGGUGUGGUAGUUGUAGUCCAUCAGUAGAAGAUGCAGGGUGGGUGUGGGUCUGAUGAGAAACCUGUAGUACUCCUUGAGUAUCCCCAACAGUACACAUUUUAUUGUAUCCCUGGACAAGCACACCUGAUUCAGUACUGGAGGAGAAGUUGGGAAACACCGCUGUAGGACACAGAAACAUAAAGACUUAGCUAGGUUAUCUUUUUCAUAUUUUAAUGUCACCCUUAUUUAACCAUACAGUGUUCACAAAGUUACGCAUUAAAAACAACACAUUUCCAGGGCCAAACAGAAAACCUUUCUACUCAUAACCCAAAUAAGUACUCAUAACCCAAAUGAGUAUUCAUAACCAAAACGUAUGCCGCCAAACAUACCCUCAUAAAACUAACUAUCCUACCGAUCCUCAACUUUAGCAAUGUCAUCUACAAAAUAGCCUCCAACACUCUAUUCAGCAAACUGGAUGCAGUCUAUCACUGUGCCAUCCAUUUUGAUACCAAAGCCCCAUAUACUACCCACCAUUGUGACCUGUACGCUUACUGAAGCUGGAGACUUAUAUUUCCCUCACUAACUUUAAACAUCAGCUAUCUGAGCAGCUAACCGAUCACUGCAGCUGUACAUAGUCCAUCUGUAAAUAGCCCAGCCAAUUUACCUACCUCAUCCCCAUAUUGUUUUAUUUACUUUUCGGCUAUUUUGCACACCAGUAUUUCUACUUGCACAUCAUCAUCUGCUCAUCUAUCACUCCAGUGUUAAUUUGCUUAAUUGUAAUGAUUUCGCUACUAUGGCCUAUUUAUUGCCUUACCUCCUCACGUCACUUGCACACACUGUAUAUAGACUUUCUUUUUUUUCCUAUUGUGUUAUUGACUAUAUGCUUGUUUAUUCCAUGUGUAACUCUGUUAUUGUUUGUGUCGCACUGCUUUGCUUUAUCUUGGCCAGGUCGCAGUUGUAAAUGAGAACUUGUUCUCAACUAGCCUACCUGGUUAAAUAAAGGUGAAAUAUAUAUAUUUUUUUAAGUACUCAUAACCCCUGAUAAGUCUUCAAACCAAAUAAGUACAAAUAACCCAAAUAAGUAUCAAACCCAAAUAAGAAGUCAUAAUCCCAAAUAAAUACUCAUAUACUCUAAUAAAUACUCAUAACCCAAAUAAAU
ensembl:lncRNA